ACUGUGCUCCCAAACCAUUGCCUGGCCUCUGUGCUUGUAGGCUGUUGGCACUAAAGCAGGUUG
ensembl:snoRNA